GACGAGGGGUCCAAGCGUUGUUCGGAAUCAUUGGGCGUAAAGCGGGUGUAGGUGGCUUUGUAAGUCAGGAGUGAAAUCCCCGAGCUUAACUUGGGAAGUGCUUUUGAAACUGCAGAGCUUGAAUGUGGGAGAGGAUCGUGGAAUUCCAGGUGUAGUGGUGAAAUACGUAGAUAUCUGGAGGAACACCGGUGGCGAAGGCGGCGAUCUGGGCUGAUACUGACACUGAGGGACGAAAGCUAGGGGAGCGAAUGGG
rnacentral:rRNA from 1 species